GCCGUAAAUGAUAGCAUUACUACGCUUAUGCCAGAGAACUACAAGCGAAAAGCUUCAAACUCAAAGGACUUGACGGUAUCCCAUAUCGACCUAGAGGAGCCUGUCCUAUAAUCGAUACCCCCCGUUCCACCUAACCAUUACUAGCAAGACUCAGCCUAUAUACCGCCGUCAUCAGCCUACCCUGUGAGGGUCUAAUAGUAAACACAAUAGCUCCAUCAGCUAGUACGUCAGGUCAAGGUGUAGCUAAUGUAGAGGAAGAGAUUGGCUACAUUUUUUAUACUAAAAAAUACGGAAUAUAGUAUGAAACCCCACAUGAAGGCGAAUUUAGCAGUAAAAUUAAGUAAGAGAGCUUAUUUUAACAACGCUCUGGGAUGCGCACACACCGCCCGU
rnacentral:rRNA from 1 species